UACAGAGGUCUCAAGCGUUGUUCGGAUUCAUUGGGCGUAAAGGGUGCGUAGGCGGCGCGGUAAGUCGGGUGUGAAAUCUCGGGGCUUAACUCCGAAACUGCAUUCGAUACUGCCGUGCUUGAGGACUGGAGAGGAGACUGGAAUUUACGGUGUAGCGGUGAAAUGCGUAGAUAUCGGAAGGAACAUCAGUGGCGAAAGCGACUUCCUGGACCAGUACCGACGUUCAGGCACGAAAGCGUGGGGAGCAAACGGG
rnacentral:rRNA from 1 species